GUUCCACCCCACAAGUGGGAGCUGUUUUGUCCCAUCCUUAUCCUCUCCCACCUUCCUCAGCCCCUGGGGCACACUGAUGAAAUGGGCAAUAGUCUUAGUUUCUGUGCUUCCAAUUGUAAAGCUGCUUGACUGACACUCUCAAUUUGAUUCUUUCAGCAUGUGAAGAAUUUUCUUUUACAUUUUGUAAGUAAAUCCUAGAGUUCCAGGAUUAGAUUACUCAAUUAAUAAAAUUAUUUCUCCAUUGUGUUAAUAUUUUCAGAGCGAAAAUAUGAUUUGGGGGACUGCUUUCACCGACUCCCCUAAAUUUGAGAGAAAAUAUGAUUUGGGGGACUGCUUUCACCGACUCCCCUAAAUUUGGUAAGUUUCUCCUAAUCAUCCUAGUAUUCCAGGAUUAGAUUACUCAGUCAAUAAUAUUCUUUCUUCAUCAUAUUAAUGUUUUCAGAGAGAAAAUAUGAUUUUGAGGACUGCUUUCACCGACUCCCCUAAAUUUUGGAAAGUUGUCUUGUGAUCAUCAUCAUCUCUCUGUGACAAUGGUAAAGGCUGCAUGAAAUACUUGGAAUUGGACUUGGUCCACACAGUUCCUGUGCCACCAUCCUGAAGCCCUAGUAGGACCUGGCGUCUUGGCUGUCCCUUGGGGCCGUGCUGGCAGACUAGGCUCGGCGAUUACCAAGUUUGUCUCGGACUCAAGCUCCCGAACCUCCAGUAGCUCUUCUGAACUUUCCAAGGUCACAUGGUCCAUUCCAGUCCCGAUGUAUGUUCAUCUAAGGGAGGUAAGAAACAACAAACCAUGAGUGGGAUAAGUAGGCUAUUGGUACUAAUGCUCUCUCCCUAUGGGGAAACUUAAAAGUACUCUUCAGCUAAACACAUCCAGGCAGGACUGAAGACGAAAGAGCUUCCCUUUUACUUGUAUUAUGUUUUGAAUGCACACCUAGUUGCGCUCAUCAGCCAAACGUCUUACUUCACUAGGUGGCAAGUUCAAAAGUUAUAGGAUUCCUGCACAUGUUUCAAAGGCAGGGAGCACGACCUGCCCAGAAGCAGAUUUACUCUGUCUCCACAUGGCAGAGCAGCCAGAACAAGGUACACUAUUGAAAGGGGGAAAUCCCAAAGGUUCACCCAUCUAGAUCCCUUCUUACCUUUCUCCCAGUUAUUCCUCCUUCCCUAUCCUUUCUAUUAAUUCUCCCACCCUCCUUUCUUCUCUAUCCUUUUUGGUCUACCUACCUCCCUUUCACAUCUUGCCUCCCUUCUAUUAUGCUUUUUCCCCUCCUCUCUUCAUCUUUCCAGCCUUACUUCCCU
rnacentral:lncRNA from 1 species